rnacentral:misc_RNA from 1 species
GAAAUGCGAUACGUAGUGUGAAUUGCAGAAUUCAGUGAAUCAUCGAAUCUUUGAACGCACAUUGCGCCCUUUGGUAUUCCAAAGGGCAUGCCUGUUCGAGCGUCAUUUGUACCCUCAAGCUUUGCUUGGUGUUGGGCGUCUUUUUGUCUCUCCCCUUGUUGGGGGAGACUCGCCUUAAAACGAUUGGCAGCCGACCUACUGGUUUUCGGAGCGCAGCACAAAUUUGUGCCUUCCAAUCCACGGGGCGGCAUCCAGCAAGCCUUUGUUUUCUAUAACAAAUCCACAUUUUGACCUCGGAUCAGGUAGGGAUACCCGCUGAACUUAAGC